rnacentral:rRNA from 1 species
UGGGGAAUAUUGCACAAUGGGGGAAACCCUGAUGCAGCGACGCCGCGUGAGCGAAGAAGGCUUUCGAGUCGUAAAGCUCUGUCCUAUGAGAAGAUAAUGACGGUAUCAUAGGAGGAAGCCCUGGCUAAAUACGUGCCAGCAGCCGCGGUAAUACGUAUGGGGCGAGCGUUGUCCGGAAUUAUUGGGCGUAAAGGGUACGUAGGCGGUUUUUUAAGUCAGGUGUCAAAGCGUGGAGCUUAACUCCAUUAAGCACUUGAAACUGAAAGACUUGAGUUCAGGAGAGGAAAGUGGAAUUCCGAGUGUAGCGGUGAAAUGCGUAGAUAUUAAAAAGAAUACCAGUGGCGAAGGCGACUUACUGGGCUCAUUCUGACGCUGAGGAACGAAAGCGUGGGUAGCAAACAGG